rnacentral:rRNA from 1 species
CACGGGGGGAGCAAGCGUUGUUCGGAAUUAUUGGGCGUAAAGAGCUCGUAGGCGGUUUGUCGCGUCGAAUGUGAAAACCCGGGGCUCAACCCCGGGCCUGCAUUCGAUACGGGCAGACUAGAGUUCGGUAGGGGAGUCUGGAAUUCCUGGUGUAGCGGUGAAAUGCGCAGAUAUCAGGAGGAACACCGGUGGCGAAGGCGGGACUCUGGGCCGAUACUGACGCUGAGGAGCGGAAGCGUGGGGAGCGAACAGG